GCGGAGGAAAAGAAAAUAACAAUGAUUUCCCUAGUAACGGCGAGUGAACAGGAAAGAGCUCAAAGUUGGAACCUGUUUGGUUUAGCCAAACCGGAUUGUAAACUGUAGAAGUGUUUUCCUGACACGCCUGACGAAAAAGUCCAUUGGAACAUGGUGACAUAGAGGGUGAGAGCCCCGUAUUUUGUCAGAGCUGUUGUCUCUUGUGAUACACUUUCAAAGAGUCAGGUUGUUUGGGAAUGCAGCCUAAAUUGGGUGGUAAAUCUCACCUAAAGCUAAAUAUUGGCAAAAGACCGAUAGCGAACAAGUACCGUGAGGGAAAGAUGAAAAGAACUUUGAAAAGAGAGUUAAACAGUAUGUGAAAUUGUUAAAAGGGAACCGUUUGGAGCCAGACUGGCUUGAUUGUAAUCAAUCUAGAUCUCGAUCUGGAUGCACUUGCAGUCUAUGCCUGCCAACGACAAUUCAUUCUGGAGGAAAAAACUAAGUGGAAUGUGGCCCCUCGGGGUGUUAUAGACUCUUAGAAAAUACUCUGGUUUGGAUUGAGGAACGCAGUGAAUGCUAUUUGGCGAAGAUGCUGGGUGCUUUUAUUUUUGUUGUCUAGAAUUUCUGCUUCGGGUGGUGCUAGAUACCACGAGUAAAACUCGCCUAGUAUACUUUUUAUUCACUUAGGUUGUUGGCUUAAUGACUCUAAAUGACCCGUCU
rnacentral:rRNA from 1 species